UACGUAGGGUGCGAGCGUUAAUCGGAAUUACUGGGCGUAAAGCGUGCGUAGGCGGUUCGUUAAGUUCGUUGUGAAAGCCCCGGGCUCAACCUGGGAAUGGCAAUGGAAACUGGCGGGCUGGAGUAUGGCAGAGGGGGGUGGAAUUCCGCGUGUAGCAGUGAAAUGCGUAGAGAUGCGGAGGAACACCGAUGGCGAAGGCAGCCCCCUGGGCCAACACUGACGCUCAGGCACGAAAGCGUGGGGAGCAAACAGG
rnacentral:rRNA from 1 species